rnacentral:rRNA from 1 species
AGAGGGGGAUAGCCCGGCGAAAGUCGGAUUAAUACCCCAUAAAACAGGGGUCCCGCAUGGGAAUAUUUGUUAAAGAUUCAUCGCUGAUAGAUAGGCAUGCGUUCCAUUAGGCAGUUGGCGGGGUAACGGCCCACCAAACCGACGAUGGAUAGGGGUUCUGAGAGGAAGGUCCCCCACAUUGGUACUGAGACACGGACCAAACUCCUACGGGAGGCAGCAGUGAGGAAUAUUGGUCAAUGGCCGAGAGGCUGAACCAGCCAAGUCGCGUGAAGGAAGAAGGAUCUAUGGUUUGUAAACUUCUUUUAUAGGGGAAUAAAGUGGAGGACGUGUCCUUUUUUGUAUGUACCCUAUGAAUAAGCAUCGGCUAACUCCGUGCCAGCAGCCGCGGUAAUACGGAGGAUGCGAGCGUUAUCCGGAUUUAUUGGGUUUAAAGGGUGCGUAGGUGGUGAUUUAAGUCAGCGGUGAAAGUUUGUGGCUCAACCAUAAAAUUGCCGUUGAAACUGGGUUACUUGAGUGUGUUUGAGGUAGGCGGAAUGCGUGGUGUAGCGGUGAAAUGCAUAGAUAUCACGCAGAACUCCGAUUGCGAAGGCAGCUUACUAAACCAUAACUGACACUGAAGCACGAAAGCGUGGGGACCAAACAGGAUUAGAUACCCUGGUAGUCCACGCAGUAAACGA